rnacentral:lncRNA from 1 species
CGACCACCAUGGCAUAUAUGCAAACCUAAUUCAGAACUGCACGCGAUUCACACAGAAAAAAAAUAUUACGGACAUGCACUUUCAAAGGAAAUCAUACACAAGUCCAACAACAUGAACAGUAAACCCUAGCUACAAUAUUAAUUCGAAGGCGACAACACUGACAAAGCAUACCACAAAUAUUGUAUUCAAGAAUGCGACAACUCAUUCUAAAUAAUACAACUUGUAUUGCAAAUAAGCGACAAAGCAUACCACAAAAGUUUUAAAGAAUCAAACAAGGAGUACCUUUUCACCAUUUUUUAGACCUUGGGACCACUUGGUCACAAGUUUACUGACUUGUGCUUCGAAAUGGCAAUAAACAAAUCAAACACCUGCGAAACCCUUUCUGUUUCAACAAAACAAACCUUUAAUUUUGCUAUGAAAUUGAAGAACGGGCUUUGUCAGUAAUCUGGGAAUCUAAAGAUUAAGACAAAUGAAAAGGUGGAAAUGAAAAAGUGGAAGUGAAAAGCUGGAAAACGAAGAGAGGAAGAGAAUGGAGGGUUUGGCGCGCCUUUUCUUGUGCAGAAACGACGUCGUUUCAACUUCCGCAUAGUUGGACGCCACCUAUACGCCACCUGGCCGCCAGUUUGCUUAAAUGUAGACACGUAUGCAGAAUUCCUAUUUUGCCCUUGCCGGAAUUUGAACGGAAUACCUAAAUCAGAUUAAAUUGUAAGAUUGGUAUUUUGUAUUACAGACAUUGAAGUAUAGUACCCAAACCAGAAUUUGGGUAUAGUUAAGUAAUUUAGCCGUCAUUAACCCUUUAAUUUUCUUUUGAACUCCUGCAGGGAGACAAAGAAAGCCAACAGAGCAUUCAAAGAAGGUUUCAUCCAUCAACCUUCAUAUUUUAUUUCUUGAAACAAGAAAAGCAUAUAGAAUCUCCUAUCUUCUUGCAGAAAUCUGCACACACUCAGGACCCACAUCUCCAACCUCACCAACUUUUAAGGUCGAUUUAAUUCCUUGAAUUCUUUUUAUUCUUAUGCAUAAGAAACCACAGCAAGAACUAGACCGCAACAAGAAAUAGAGAACUUCCAAAACUUAGUACUCACAGUAGCAUAAAUUUCUUUAAAUCCAAUCUGCAGAUUCCUAGUCUAAAAUCUCUUGUCAUAAUCGGACCUUUUUCACCUCAUUAAUCAAGACAAACCACAAGAACAAGCAUACACACACAACGACUCAUGCUUCUAAUAAAAUCAAGAAAAACACUCAAAGAUUUGAUUGUUAUUUCAAAACUGAAUCUUUUUACUUAUCUUGGUUUGGGUUGUUGAGAGUCGAAGGGUGGGGAGAGUAUCUUUUUCGUUUCUGGGGCUGCAUGUCUGAUCGGGAAAGUCGGCGGCACAAGGCGGCAGCGACCGGUGGCUGGAUGAUGGCGAGACAGACCGGACGACGGUGGCGGCGUGAGGCGGCAGACGCCAGAGCAGCAGGGGCAGCAGUCUUUCUUGAGCUGCUGUUUCCGCUGAGAGCGUGAGAGGAAGAGAGAUAAUAGGAUCCGAGGAAGACGAACGGGGCGGGGCGGCGCGGCCGAAGGCCAAGCGCCGCCGGUCACAGCAGAGGGGGAGAACGGCAGUGGCGGCGGCCCUCCAUGGCCGCUCGUCGACUGAUAUGUGCGAAAGAGGGAGAGGGGCAGACCGGCGAAGGAAUGAGAGCAUUCCCGGGUGAUUCCGGCGACAAUUUUCGCCGGGAGAAGGAGCGGCAGCGGCGGCAUGUUAGAGAGGGAGGUGGGCGCGCAGUGAGAGAACAUGGAGGGAGAGCCGAUAGCUUGAAGAGAGAGAGAGAGUAGUUUCUUUUCUAACUUUAAUUUACGUCUAAAAUGUUUAGUUUAGGGUUUUAGUAAUUCAUUUGGGCUUCCUUUAAUUAGUUGGGCUUUUAUAUUUUUAUGGGCCGAAAAUUUGAUUUAUUUGGGCAAGAUGGGCUUCAAUUAUUCAUAGUAUGCUUCCUUUAAUUAGUUGGGCUUUUAUAUUUUUAUGGGCCGAAAUUUGAUUUAUUUGGGUAAGAUGGGCUUCAAUUAUUCAUAGUAUAUUGGACCAUUUUUUUAAACAAGCCUAUUAAUUAUAAAUUGCUUAUUAUUUUAUAAGUUUGGAUUUACUAUUAAAUUAUUAAUUAUUUUGGGGAUUUGUAUUAUUGUUAUUAUUAUUAGAAAUGUUUAUUAUCUUAAUCUGGGCAAAGUGUAUCGAUAGUUAGUAUUUCCUGUUACCUAGAAAUUAGAAUGAAACCUUGGGAUCUAUUUAAGAAUAGAUUUCUUGUAGGUUUGAGUGACCAAGGACAGUGAAGUCUCAAAGCNCCAGAACUCGGCUAACAUACUAUCAAAAGAAAAGACAUCUUUAACCUCAUCCUCGUUCAACCAUCAUCUCUAUACAUCUUUCAUCUCUAUACAUCUUUAUUUCCUCAAAGUAUUUCAUUCACUAGUUCUUCAUUGAAAACAUAAUAGUUCAACCAUUAGAAAUCUCAUCUCAUCAAUAGCUUAUUUUUAUAUCUCAGUACUCUUAAAACACAAGGUACUUAUAAUAAGGAAAAAAAAAUGCGGGGUGUUACAAUCAUACACAAGUCCAACAACAUGAACAGUAAACCCUAGCUACAAUAUUAAUUCGAAGGCGACAACACUGACAAAGCAUACCACAAAUAUUGUAUUCAAGAAUGCGACAACUCAUUCUAAAUAAUACAACUUGUAUUGCAAAUAAGAGACAAAGCAUACCACAAAAGUUUUAAAGAAUCAAACAAGGAGUACCUUUUCACCAUUUUUUAGACCUUGGGACCACUUGGUCACAAGUUUACUGACUUGUGCUUCGAAAUGGCAAUAAACAAAUCAAACACCUGCGAAACCCUUUCUGUUUCAACAAAACAAACCUUUAAUUUUGCUAUGAAAUUGAAGAACGGGCUUUGUCAGUAAUCUGGGAAUCUAAAGAUUAAGACAAAUGAAAAGGUGGAAAUGAAAAAGUGGAAGUGAAAAGCUGGAAAACGAAGAGAGGAAGAGAAUGGAGGGUUUGGCGCGCCUUUUCUUCUGCAGAAACGACGUCGUUUCAACUUCCGCAUAGUUGGACGCCACCUAUACGCCACCUGGCCGCCAGUUUGCUUAAAUGUAGACACGUAUGCAGAAUUCCUAUUUUGCCCUUGCCGGAAUUUGAACGGAAUACCUAAAUCAGAUUAAAUUGUAAGAUUGGUAUUUUGUAUUACAGACAUUGAAGUAUAGUACCCAAACCAGAAUUUGGGUAUAGUUAAGUAAUUUAGCCGUCAUUAACCCUUUAAUUUUCUUUUGAAC